GACGAACGCUGGCGGCGUGCUUAACACAUGCAAGUCGAACGGAAAGGCCCUGCUUUUGUGGGGUGCUCGAGUGGCGAACGGGUGAGUAACACGUGAGUAACCUGCCCUUGACUUUGGGAUAACUUCAGGAAACUGGGGCUAAUACCGGAUAGGAGCUCCUGCUGCAUGGUGGGGGUUGGAAAGUUUCGGCGGUUGGGGAUGGAUUCGCGGCUUAUCAGCUUGUUGGUGGGGUAGUGGCUUACCCAGGCUUUGACGGGUAGCCGGCCUGAGAGGGUGACCGGCCACAAUGGGACUGAGAUACGGCCCAGACUGCUACGGGAGGCAGCAGUGGGGAAUAUUGCACAGUGGGCGGAAGCCUGAUGCAGCAACGCCGCGUGCGGGAUGACGGCCUUCGGGUAGUAAACCGCUUUCGCCUGUGACGAAGCGUGAGUGACGGUAAUGUGUAAAGAAGCACCGGCUAACUACGUG
rnacentral:rRNA from 1 species